GUUAUAUGGUCAAGCGAAUAAGCGCACACGGUGGAUGCCUUGGCGGUCAGAGGCGAUGAAGGACGUGGCAGCCUGCGAAAAGUAUCGGGGAGCUGGCAACAAGCUUUGAUCCGGUAAUGUCCGAAUGGGGAAACCCACCCGCUUGCGGGUAUCCUGCAGUGAAUACAUAGCUGCUGGAAGCGAACCUGGUGAACUGAAAUAUCUAAGUAACCAGAGGAAAAGAAAUCAACCGAGAUUCCCUGAGUAGCGACGAGCGAACGGGGACUAGCCCUUAAGCUGGAAUGGUUCUAGAAAAACAGCCUGGAACGGCUGGCCAUAGAAGGUGAUAGCCCUGUAUUUAAAAGGGCCACUCCAGUGAAGACGAGUAGGGCGGGGCACGUGAAACCCUGUCUGAACAUGGGGGGACCAUCCUCCAAGGCUAAAUACUACUGACCGACCGAUAGUGAACCAGUACCGUGAGGGAAAGGCGAAAAGAACCCCGGAGAGGGGAGUGAAAUAGAUCCUGAAACCGUGUGCGUACAAGCAGUAGGAGCUCGAAAGAGUGACUGCGUACCUUUUGUAUAAUGGGUCAGCGACUUACUGUUCGUGGCAAGCUUAACCGUAUAGGGGAGGCGAAGGGAAACCGAGUCUGAUAAGGGCGCAUAGUCGCGGGCAGUAGACCCGAAACCGGGUGAUCUAGUCAUGGCCAGGGUGAAGGUGCCGUAACAGGUACUGGAGGCCCGAACCCACGUCUGUUGCAAAAGACGGGGAUGAGCUGUGAUUAGGAGUGAAAAGCUAAUCGAACCCGGAGAUAGCUGGUUCUCCUCGAAAGCUAUUUAGGUAGCGCCUCAUAUGUAUCCUCUCGGGGGUAGAGCACUGUUAUGGCUAGGGGGUCAUCGCGACUUACCAAACCAUUGCAAACUCCGAAUACCGAGACGGACUGUAUGGGAGACACACGGCGGGUGCUAACGUCCGUCGUGAAAAGGGAAACAACCCAGACCCACAGCUAAGGUCCCAAAUUCACUGCUAAGUGGAAAACCAUGUGGAAAGGCACAGACAGCCAGGAGGUUGGCUUAGAAGCAGCCACCCUUUAAAGAAAGCGUAAUAGCUCACUGGUCGAGUCGGUCUGCGGGGAAGAUUUAACGGGGCUAAGCAGUGAACCGAAGCUUGGGGUGUGCAUAUUUAUAUGUACGCGGUAGAGGAGCGUUCCGUAAGCCGUUGAAGGUGGAUUGAGAAGUCUGCUGGAGGUAUCGGAAGUGCGAAUGCUGACAUGAGUAACGAUAAUGCGGGUGAAAAACCCGCACGCCGAAAGCCCAAGGUUUCCUUGCGCAACGUUAAUCGGCGCAGGGUGAGUCGGCCCCUAAGGCGAGGACGAAAGUCGUAGUCGAUGGGAAGCAGGUUAAUAUUCCUGCACCUCGCGUAAGUGCGAUGGAGGGACGGAGAAGGUUAGGUGUACCCGGCGUUGGUUGUCCGGGGGAAAGGCGGUAGGUUUGGAUCUUUGGCAAAUCCGGGAUCCUCUAAGACCGAGCACCGAGACGAGUCUUUAAGACAAAGUCACUGAUACCACGCUUCCAGGAAAAGCUCCUAAGCUUCAGCUUACGCAGACCGUACCGUAAACCGACACAGGUGGGUAGGAUGAGAAUUCUCAGGCGCUUGAGAGAACUCGGGUGAAGGAACUAGGCAACAUGGCACCGUAACUUCGGGAGAAGGUGCGCCCUUUUUGGUGGCUCAUGCGAGCUAUAGCUGAAGAGGGCCGCAGAAACCAGGCCGCUGCGACUGUUUAUCAAAAACACAGCACU
rnacentral:rRNA from 1 species